rnacentral:snRNA from 1 species
GUGCUUGCUUCCACAGCAUAUAUAUGAAAACUUGAAGGAUAGAAGAUUACCAUGGCCCCUGUGCAAGGAUGACAGUCAAAUUCGUAAAGCAUUCCAUAUUUUU